UAAGAAGCUCCGCGCGCUACUUUAGGUACCUGACUUUCAUGUAACAUAAGAAAAGUCUAAAGGACCUGAGCAGCGCGAACAGCUACUC